rnacentral:rRNA from 1 species
UGAGUAACCUGCCCUUAACUCUGGGAUAAGCCUGGGAAACUGGGUCUAAUACCGGAUAUGACUCCUCAUCGCAUGGUGGGGGGUGGAGAGCUUUUGUGGUUUUGGAUGGACUCGCGGCCUAUCAGCUUGUUGGUGAGGUAAUGGCUUACCAAGGCGACGACGGGUAGCCGGCCUGAGAGGGCGUCCGGCCACACGUGGGACUGAGACACGGCCCAGACUCCGUACGGGAGGCAG